rnacentral:rRNA from 1 species
GUUUAAUUCGAUGCAACGCGAAGAACCUUACCUGGUCUUGACAUCCACAGAACUUUCCAGAGAUGGAUUGGUGCCUUCGGGAACUGUGAGACAGGUGCUGCAUGGCUGUCGUCAGCUCGUGUUGUGAAAUGUUGGGUUAAGUCCCGCAACGAGCGCAACCCUUAUCCUUUGUUGCCAGCGGUCCGGCCGGGAACUCAAAGGAGACUGCCAGUGAUAAACUGGAGGAAGGUGGGGAUGACGUCAAGUCAUCAUGGCCCUUACGACCAGGGCUACACACGUGCUACAAUGGCAUAUACAAAGAGAAGCGACCUCGCGAGAGCAAGCGGACCUCAUAAAGUAUGUCGUAGUCCGGAUUGGAGUCUGCAACUCGACUCCAUGAAGUCGGAAUCGCUAGUAAUCGUAGAUCAGAAUGCUACGGUGAAUACGUUCCCGGGCCUUGUACACACCGCCCGUCACACCAUGGGAGUGGGUUGCAAAAGAAGUAGGUAGCUUAACCUUCGGGAGGGCGCUUACCACUUUGUGAUUCAUGACUGGGGUGAAGUCGUAACAAGGUAACCGUAGGGGAACCUGCGGUUGGAUCACCUCCUU